UACGUAGGGGUGCAAGCGUUUAAUCGGAAUUACUGGGCGUAAAGCGUGCGCAGGCGGUGAUGUAAGACAGAUGUGAAAUCCCCGGGCUCAACCUGGGAACUGCAUUUGUGACUGCAUCGCUGGAGUGCGGCAGAGGGGGAUGGAAUUCCGCGUGUAGCAGUGAAAUGCGUAGAUAUCUGGAGGAAUACCGGUGGCGAAGGCGGCAUCCUGGACCAAGAUUGACACUGAUGAGCGAAAGCUAGGGGAGCAAACGGG
rnacentral:rRNA from 1 species